CCAUAAAUGUCCUUAGAGACAACCGAAAAACUGGUAAUGGAGUAAUCCUUUACAUGAUGAGGAAAUAAGGAAGAAGAAUUACACUUACACUUUCUGGGAGUGUAAAUUAUUUAAUCUGUCUUCUACGCAACCGGUGAAGAGAAACACCAGACUUGGUUGUUUGAGUAGCCAUUUGGACUGUAUCAGUAACUACACUAGUGCUGAUUUCCUUUUUGUAUUCCUACAUACACAGGUGUAUACAGGCUAUAGCAAAUCAAAUAUGCUUACAUAUUCCAUACUGUCACGGGUGGCGGUAUGGUGACCGGGACCCCUGAGUGCCUGAUGAUGAUGAUG